AUUCAGAGGCAAGUGGAAUUCUGUGUGUAGGGGUAAAAUCCGUAGAUACACAGAGGAACACCAAAAGCGAAGGCAGCUUGCUGGGAAUGUUCUGACGCUCAUGGACGAAAGCGUGGGGAGCGAACGGGAUUAGAUACCCCGGUAGUCCACGCCGUAAACGUUGAACACUAGGUGUUGAAAGACUCGAUCUUUUCAGUGCCGACGCUAACGCAUUAAGUGUUCCGCCUGGGGAGUACGAGCGCAAGCUUAAAACUCAAAGGAAUAGACGGGGACCCACACAAGCGGUGGAGCAUCUGGUUUAAUUCGAUAAUGAGCGAGGAACCUUACCUAGGCUUGACAUCCCGAGAAUUUCCUGGAAACAGGAAAGUGCCUUUUGGAACUCGGUGACAGGCGCUGCAUGGUUGUCGUCAGCUCGUGCCUUGAGGUGUUCGGUUAAGUCCGUAAACGAGCGCAACCCUUGUCCUAUGUUGUAUUUUUCAUAGGAGACUGCCGAUUCUAAAUCGGAGGAAGGUAAGGAUGACGUCAAAUCAGCAUGGCCCUUAUGCCUAGGGCUACACAGGUGCUACAAUGGUCGGUACAGAGGGCAGCAAUGGGGCAACCCGGAGCCAAUCCUUAAAACCGAUCUAAGUUCGGAUUGAAGGCUGCAACUCGCCUUCAUGAAGUUGGAAUCGCGUAGUAAACGCGCAUCAGCAAUGGCGCG
rnacentral:rRNA from 1 species